rnacentral:rRNA from 1 species
CCUACGGGAGGCAGCAGUGAGGAAUAUUGGUCAAUGGACGCAAGUCUGAACCAGCCAUGCCGCGUGCAGGAAGACGGCUCUAUGAGUUGUAAACUGCUUUUGUGCGAGGGUAAACGCAGAUACGCGUAUCUGUCUGAAAGUAUCGUACGAAUAAGGAUCGGCUAACUCCGUGCCAGCAGCCGCGGUAAUACGGAGGAUUCAAGCGUUCUCCGGGUUUAUUGGGUUUAAAGGGUGCGUAGGCGGUCGGAUAAGUUAGAGGGGAAAUCCCGAGGCGCAACUUCGGAAUUGCCUCUGAUACUGUUCGGCUAGAGAGUAGUUGCGGUAGGCGGAAUGUAUGGUGUAGCGGUGAAAUGCUUAGAGAUCAUACAGAACACCGAUUGCGAAGGCAGCUUACCAAGCUACUUCUGACGUUGAGGCACGAAAGCGUGGGGAGCAAACAGGAUUAGAUACCCGGGUAGUC